rnacentral:misc_RNA from 1 species
CAGCCCAUUUGCCCUCGCACCGCACCCCCUCCAGACCACCAAUGUCCGCCUACCACAGCAGCAACCCUGUCGAGGCCCGCCGCGCCGAGUGCGCGCGCCUGCAGGCCAAGUACCCCGGCCACGUCGCCGUGGUUGUCGAGGCGGCCGAAAAGGCCGGCAGCAAGGCGCACUUCCUCGCGCUGCCGCGCGACGCCACCGUCGCCGAGCUCGAGGCGGCCGUGCGCCAGGCGCUCAGCACCAGCGUCAAGAAGGUGACGCUCGCCAUCGAGGGCUCCGCCCCGGCGGUGACCGCCGCGGUCGGCGACAUCGCCGACGCCUGCAAGCGGGACGACGGCUUCCUGUACGUGAGCGUGCGCACCGAGCAGGCCAUGGGCGGCAUCGCCGGUCUCUGCUUCGCCAGCGACUCCGGCGGUAUGUAACCAGCGCGGCCUUCGCGCUUCCCAUCCUCUCUGUUCGUCCUCCCCUCACCCCUCCCCUCUCCUCCCAGUGACUUUGUCCUGCUUGGAAAAUCGCAGCGUCGCUGCCGUCUUCAUGUGUGAUGUUUUCUCGACUUAUCUCAUUUCGCGUGCAUGCGCGUGUGGCGCCUCCCCUCAGCCCAUACGCGAGCUGGUUCCUGGGCCGCAGUGUCUACGCAGGCACUCCACACACGCACGCGCGCACCCCUGCCCCGCCGCGGCGUGAAACUUGUGUGCCACCCAUGUGAACACGCCCUCUCUCUCUUUCCGUUCGUCAUCUUCUUGUGCUGCGGGGGUCGUGCUGUCGCUGCGCAGGCAGCCGGCAGCGCACACCGCCCUCCCUCCAUGUGUACAGCCCACUCGCAGUCCUAGCUGCCCCUCCCUACCCACCACCACCACCACCACCACACACACAAGCACGCAUACCUUGACCGCCAACGCCACCCCGCUGCGCUGCAGACGCCGUCGCGUCACGCCCGCCCUUCGCACCAGCGGCCCCGCGGCAGCCCCGCCGGCCGCUCUUGCAGCGGCGCACCGGCCCUGCAUCUGCCUGCUAUUGCAUGACCCCUCUCCCCUGCCACUCCUCGCCCUGCCUCCCUCCCUCCCUCCCCCUCUGCGCCGCACCGCUGCACGCAG